rnacentral:rRNA from 1 species
CAGCUAGCUUAUCCACCAACACAACUAAACAACAUAAAUGAAAUAAAAUUAACCACACACCAUAAAAUAAAUCAUUCUUUUACCUGAGUAUGGGAGACAGAAAAGGUUUAACCCAAAGCAAUAGAAACAGUACCGUAAGGGAAAGCUGAAAGAGAAAUGAAAUAACCUAUAUAAGCACUAAAAAACAAAGACUAAACCUUGUACCUUUUGCAUCAUGAUUUAGCUAGUAAAUACAAGCAAAGAGACCUUUAGUUUGAUACCCCGAAACCAAGUGAGCUACCCCGAGACAACUAUUAGAGCCAACCCGUCUCUGUGGCAAAAGAGUGGGAAGAACUCCGGGUAGAAGUGACAGACCUACCGAACUUGGUGAUAGCUGGUUACCUAGGAAACGAAUAGAAGUUCAGCCUCAUAUACCCUUAAACCAAAUAAUAUACCUCAAUUAAGAUAUUAAAGAUAUAUAUGAGAGUUAGUUAAAGGGGGUACAGCCCCUUUAACAAAGGAUACAACCUUAUUUAGAAGGAUAAAGAUCAUAGUACAUAAAAUAUACUGUUCUAGUGGGCCUAAAAGCAGCCAUCUAAACAGAAAGCGUUAAAGCUCAGACAGAAAUAAAUUUAUUAUUCCGAUAAAAUAUCUCAUUCCCCUAAAAACUACUAGGCUAAUCCAUGCCCACAUGGAAGAAAUCAUGCUAAAAUGAGUAACAAGAAGGACCACCCUUCUCCUAAGCAUAAGUGUAAACCAAACCGGACCAACCAUUGGUAAUCAACGAACUCAACUCAAGAGAGUAGUGUGACAUAUAAUAAAAUACAAGAAAAAUACACAACCAAUAAUCGUUAACCCCACACUGGAGUGCUAUCUUAAAGGAAAGACUAAAAGAAAAGGAAGGAACUCGGCAAAUACUAAGCUCGCCUGUUUACCAAAAACAUCGCCUCCUGGAACAACUAAAUAUAGGAGGUCCAGCCUGCCCAGUGACUACAAGUUCAACGGCCGCGGUAUUUUGACCGUGCAAAGGUAGCGCAAUCACUUGUCUUUUAAAUAGAGACCUGUAUGAAUGGCUAAACGAGGGCUUAACUGUCUCCCAUUUCCAGUCAGUGAAAUUGAUCUGCCCGUGCAGAAGCG